rnacentral:lncRNA from 1 species
CACAGACCUCCAUAAUGCUUUUAACAUGAUAUUCCCCAGCCCAACAUCCCACAAAAUAUGACAUAAUCGCUAAGAAUGUAAAUGUAUGACUGUAUGAGCAGUAGGCCAGUAACAAUAAAUGCGUGUCAAAAAGGUUGGUAUGAGAAAAUGAAGGAAACCAGAAUACCGUAAGGAAGUUGCCGGUGUUCUGCCCAUCAGCCCGGUGAUAGUUGUUGGUUUGGCUGGUGACCCCUGCAGCAACCUGCUUAGUCACAUCAGGCUUGGGAGGAGCUGGUUUCCCAGCAGGAGGAGCACAUGCGGCUGGUGCAGCUGGUGCCACUGCUGGCUUUGGGGCCUCAUCAUUUCCAAAGAGGUAGCCCAGUUGACUUGAACCACCACCGGCACUACCACCACGACUCAUCUUGAUUGUUGAAAGGAGAAACU